GCUUUCAACAGGAAGUGGAGUCCCGUUCAGUCUUCUAGCCGUCCAUGGUGUUUCUACUCAUAUGGAUUCUUCAUUCAUCACUCCAAGUAACGUAUUCUUCUUAGGUGUCAACGAUGGAAGAAAAACACUAAAUUGGACCGAACGAGCCUCCCUGAAAAGUAUCUCUUCUUAAAAUGGGUCACGUGGAUACCGCUGGAAAGGGACUCUUCUGAUUUCUUCCUGGAUUUCAGGUCUGAGUGGGCGGAGUUCUAAAGUCACACGUGACAACAUUUAAUGAUGCGCAUGAAUCUUAAAAGGCCCGUUGAGUCAGUUGGAUGGUUUCGGGUAGACACGGCGCUGUAAGCAGGAGGCACGGGACCAAUCUGCCUUUGUAGGAGUUGGAGGAUGACGUUGAUGUCGGCCGUCAUGCGCGUCUCUAAUCUGAGGAUGUCGGCAGAGAAUUCUGUCAGUAAUGUGCAGCGACCAGCAGCAUUCCACUUGUUUGCGGCCUAAAUGGGCUGCCAAACUUAAAGUAAACAAACUACAUUCAAUGAAAUGAUGAGUGGGUUUAUUUUUGUGUGUU